UUCCACACCAGUAAUUUCCACCAGUCUGUCUUCCACUUUGCUUAUUUGUUCUUCUGCCUCAUGGAUUCUGCUAUUGAUUUCUUCUAGUGUAUUUUCCAUUUCAGUUAUUCUGUUUUUCAUCUCUUUUGUUCUGUUGUUCAUCUCUGUUCUUUAAAUCUUUGUUGUUGUUGUUGUUAAAUCUUUCUUAUCAUUUCUCGAUUUUUGCCUCUGGAUUUUUUCCAAAGUCUUGGAUCAUCCUUACUAUCAUAAUUCUAAAGUCUUUUUCAUGUAGGUUGCCUAUCUCCACUUAGUUGUUCUUCUGGGGUUUUGUCUUGUUUCUUCAUCUGGAGCAUAUUUAUCUGCCAUUUUAUGUUGUCUAGCUAUCUGUGUGUGUUUUCUCUUUUCUGCAGGCUGCAGGGUUGUAGCCUCUUUUGUUUCUGGUGUAUGCCCCCCAGUGAGUGAAGCUGAUACAGGGACUUGUAGCAAGCUUCCUGAUGGGAGGGACUAGUUAGUGCCUGCCCACUGGUUGGUGGGAAUGAGUCUUGUCCCUCUGGUAGGCAGGGCCAUGUCAUAGGUGGAUGUGUCCACAGAAGGACUUUAGGCAGCCCGUCUGCUGAUGGGUGGGGCUGUGUUCCCACCAUUUGUUGUUUGGCCUGGGGCUUAUCAGCACUGGUGCUGACAUGCUGUUGGGUGGGGCCAGGUUUUUCCAAAAUGGCAGCCUCCAGGAGAAUGCAUGCCUAUAAAUAUUCCCUGAGACCUCUGCCUACAGUGUCCUGCCCCCACAAUGAGACAUAGCUGACUCCUGCCUCCCUAGCAGACCCUCCAAGACCCACAGGUAGCUCUGUCCCUGACUCUUAAGGAGUCUGUUCUUUGCCCUGGGACCUAGUGUGCAUGAAACCUUGUGUGUGCACUCCAAGAGUAGAGUCUCUGUUUCCGCCAGUCCUGUGGAGCUCCUUUGCUGCCCUUCAAUGCCAAAUGCUAUGGAGGCUCCUCUUAGCAGUGUCAGACCCCCAGGUUGGGGAACCUGACCAUGGGGUUCAGAACUCUCACACCUGUAAGAGAACCUCUGCAAUAUAGUUAUUUUCUUGUUUGUCAAUUGCUCAUCUGGCAGGUGUAGAAUUGCUCAUAUCAAGAACGAGCCCCUCCUUCCAUCUCAUUGGGGCUUCCUCUUUAUCUUUGGGUGUAGGAUAUCUUUUUUGGUAACUUCUGUUUUGUCAGUGGUCGUUCAGCAGCUAAUUGUGAUUUUUGGUGAUUUGUGAAAGGUGAGCUUGAGUCCUUCUGCUCCACCAUUUUGUCUGAUCCAAGUACAGGGGUUGACAUUUUUUAAAUGAGAGUUUUACCACAUGAAAGCAAAGAUUAGAGAAGCAACUUUGGAGGAAUCUAUGUUUCUGUCUUUUCUGUCCCACAGAGACUCCGAGUAUAAGCCUCCAAAAGGAAGAACCUUUGGAAGUUAUGGAAAGCCCUGAGCCUUUAACCAAGAGUGUAGGGGAGCUCCCAGAAUCUACAGCUGUCAUACAAGAGCCUGCCUAGAAAAGCAUCAGAAAUGCUUCCCACAGAUGACAGUAGACAACCAACUGGUGUCCACUGAGCCAGCCUUUGAAUGCACCCAAACACCCACCAUGGCACCAACAGUGAGGCCACCCUCCAAACUAUACUGCCUACCAUGGAGGCCCCUCCUCCUGAAAUAUAACCCCAAAGCCCCCCACUAGCGAAUCCUCCUAAUAAUCCUCUUUCAUGUUGUUUUCCACCACAUCCAGCAUGUCCUUCUCCUCCUUGGGCUGUCUUCAAAGAAGAAUUAACCACAAACUUGCCCACUUCUUACCCUUCCUCUCUGUGCCCGGGGUGACCCGAUGGUGGAGUGGUCAAGAAAGGCAUACAGCAGAGCCAGGGAGGCUCUCAGGAAAACCAUUCUGGUCUUCCUUUCAUCUCAAGGGGAUGAACAAAGGGAAAAGAGUCAUGGUUUUGGAGCUGGAGUCAGUUGUCCUCCAGGUAUCACAGGACUUUUCUCACCCGAACUCUUCAAAUAUUCCCCACUAAAGCAGUGGCUACGGUGAACAUCAGCAUGUAAAUAAAGGCAACCUCUAAGGAACCCACAAGGUAAAUGAUACAAUCUUUCUUUGGACCCUUCUGUGGUCACUCUGACAGUGUCUAGGGGAUGAGUGCCAAAGUGAAGCCAUCCUGAGUCAGAGAAUGAGAGGUUGCUUCAGACAGCAACAUCAUCUUCCCAGAAAGCAGGCCUGUCUGGUUUGGGACCUCUGUUUCAACACCUAGCCCCUCUGCCUCCCACAUAGGCUUCUGGAAAGAGGAACGGCACUCCCUAUAGAAUGACUCAGCAUCUAGAUGCAGGUGACCCCAGACACCUGGGUGUGUGAGGGUAAGUGGAACUGGGCUGGCUCUGCUCAAGUAUCAGGGGGGACCUUGAGAGCAGAUCAAAUAUGCCUGUGUCUAGGAGCUUCUCUCCUGUAACUUCUCUAGGCACUCAUCCCAGCCACUCAUCCAGAAGGAUGUCUUACUACCACUUUCCUGUCUGAAACCCCACCUCAGACCUGCCUGGGUCAUGUCCAGACUUGUUUGUUCCAUCCUGGUCACAAAGUAAUAUUUUACAGGCACCCACUGGAUGUAAGGAUUUAACCCAAGGCAGCAUUAUUCCUGAGGUUCUUGGAGAUGAUUCUGGCAGGACACAAGGGCAACUCUGGAUCUACUAUCCCUAGGUAAGGCCCAGAAGCCGGUUCCCUCUGUAGAUCUCCAGCCCAGCCACGCUUAGGCUUCCACUUCCCAGGCUGAUCUCUAGCAUUUUCCUCUAAGCCCCUUUCAAGCACACUGGGCUCAGGCACCCCAACCUCCAACAGUUUGACCCUGCACACACACACAAAGGAGACAGUUCUUCAGGCCACAAACUCUGUCCUGACCCCACACACUGCCCCUCCCCUCUCUCAGCAAAGAUACUACAGGGCCAGAAGAUGAACCACAUGCUUUAUGCCCUGAGAUGAUCAGGGGAGACUUGAACAGGGGCUCAGCACUCACACUGUAGUAUGUAAAAGUGACCUGUCUCCCUUACCCCAGCUGAGGCUCCUGGACUUAGGGGACUUGAGCCAGUCCCUUAGGUUUCAGAAUAGUCUUGGUUUGGUUGUUCCCAGCAAGGAAAAUUACAUUGUCCUUUUGAUUCCCUUUCCUGGUGGUGCACAGAAAGCCAAAGAGGUUGCGUGAUAGAGCUGGUCUAAGAAUGGCAUCCAAGGAGCACAGGCUCUUACCACUGGGAAGGCCACAGCAAUCCAGGACUAGAACCAACCAGGUGCUUGGGGUGGGUGGAGGGGAGUUCUGCAUCCUGGCAAGGCCACCUCAUUAGAAGAAGGGUUAGAGGCCACAUUGGUGUGGUCAGUGGUGGCCAACCGGGCUUGCCUCCCUGCCUGCAUGGCAAAGGGUGUUCCAUGGCUACAGAGGUAACAACUGAUGGUCCUGAGCCAGUGCCACCUUCCCACUGUUCACUUGCCACUCCUGGAGCCCCGCUGUUUGCUCAUGGCCGUGAGCAUCUGGCUAAUAUAGGAAGUCAGGAGGUCAUCCAUCUUGUAGCCCUGGAAACAGCAUCAAGAAGAUAAACAGAGCACAGAGUGGGACAGGGCUGCCCACUCAGACCCAGAACACAGCUCCCAGGAAACUGUAAUGGAAACAAGCCUGGACAAAGGCAAAUCCUGUCCCGCUCUGAGGGUCUCCCUAGCCACAAAGUGAAGGGUUAGAUUCAUCCAGCCCAACACCUAGGGUUCUAAGCUGUUGUGACCCUACACUAAUCCUGGAUGUCUACCUCCAGGAGGGACUGUAAGGGCUCUACUGGUGAACUUAGGGGCCAAAAGCUCAAUCCCCAGCUAGUGAAGGCACUGGGACAAUAGCUUCUGAAUGAGGACUCUGUUUCUCAGCCCUAGAAGAAGCCCCUUCCCCAGACCUAAGCUGAGCCCCCACCUGACCCUUGAUCCCAACCACAUCUGGGAGCUAGAGGGAUGGCUAAAGCUGUAGGCAAAGUGGGGGAACAUGCCAGGCCGAGGAGGAAGAGCUCUUACCAGUGACGUCUCACAGAGAAGUUUGCUCCCGCGCACCAGGUUCCCAAUGGUGAUGUGGAAGUAGGUGUUGCCACUGCUCCAGUUGGAGAUCUUGGUGAAGGGGUGAGUGGUCAGGAUGUCCUGGGGGAGCAGAGAGAGUUGGAAGCUGCACAGCCUGGACCACCUGGCCUCCUUUCUCUCAGCUGUAGCCCACAGACACUACCCCCAGGAAGGACCUCGGGCCUUCAGACUAGAGAAGAAGCAAGAGGGUGGCGUCCAGCUGUGCUGGGGAGCUUCCUCCUCCAGGGGCCACUUGGUGGGACAACCAAGGAAACCUCGGGGGCAUUCAGGUGUGUGGGGCCAGAAUUGGAAUUUUGAGAGCCUGAAGGAGCUCCAGCUGUGGUCCCAGAGGAGAUGGUCCAGCAGAGAGGGAGGUGGGAGGGAGACGCGGAGAUGACCCGACCUUGGGGAACACAGUAUGUGGGGUGGCGGGGGCACAUGGAUGGAGAAGAAGCCCAUGAAACUGCCCGAGAGACGGACCAAGGACGACAUGAGGAAAAGCAGGAAGGUGGGCACAUGGAGCCAAGGGGAAGAGGGUGGUCAUUGGCCCCCUGUGCCGACAGUCCCAGUUGUACCCUCCUGUGUCAGUGGUAAGACUCUGCCUUCUGGCCCCCUUGGUGGGAGCUGCUCAGGCCCACAGAUCAGAGCAGAGUUCCCCAAGCAGCACAGCCUGCCCCCCUGACGAGUGAGGGCAGAGAGCAUUCUGGAAGGAGGGAGUGGUUGGCAGCAUCUGAUGUUGCUGAAAGGACAAGCCCUAAACGUUAAUUGGAUUUAGUAUUGAGGACUGUGUUAGCAACUCAGGGAGCCGUCUUCAUGGAGCAGAUGACAGAUGACAGGUAAGGAAGUAGACACAACAAACACAAACAGUUCCUCAAGAUGUGUGGCCAGGGGCACGGAUGAAGCGAGGAUGGUAGUGGCUGGUGGGGACUUUGGGGGUUUGGGCCUGGGGGCCUUUGUUAGAAAUGCAGAUGGAGAAACCUAUCCACACCUUCUCUUCCUGUCACUGCUCACCUUGGUUCUGGGAUCGAUGAGACUGACCCCGUACUUGUUGAUGGCAAUUAAGAGGAUCUCAGGGAAGUUUGGCUCCGUAGUUUGCUAGUUAAAAAAUAAAGACAUUUUAAAAAGCGCCCGAACCGUCAGAUGGAGAACCCAGAGCAGGAAAAGGUGUGUGAUUUGGGGCAGGAAGGAAGCCGCCCCCGACUAAAGUCCCCCCCUGCUGCGGCCGGCUCUGUACCAGAGGCACAGAGGUGCUGGUGGCCUUGCCAUGACCGCAUGGUCGCCACCUCUGCCGGGCCCUCCGUGCUACCCCAGAUCCCUUCCCGGGUCCCCAGCAACCCCACCCGCAGUUUCCUAUCUUCUGUCCUGCUUUAGGAGUCUCUGUGAUUGCUCUCUCAGCCUCAAAGACUCAUCUUUAAAGAGCCUCCUUGAACCCUACACCUGCCUCCAGCUCCCACCUCACUCUCGCUUCCGCAGCCAGGCUCCUCCAAGGGCCGCCCCCUCCUCUCAGUCCAGACCUGCCCCCUCUUGCCAGCCUCCUCCCCAUUCUCCCUCAGAUCCACCCUAUGGUCAGAGGGGCUUCUGGCCCCGUCAUCCCUUCUUAAAACCCUGCAGGGCCUGCCACCGCCGGCAGGAGGAAACCCACCUUCCCUGCCUGCUCACACCCCAGGCCCGUCCACACUCACGCACCCGCACUUCCUGCCCAGACCUGAGCUCUCACACCUGUGGAUCUCUGCUUGUGCGGGGCCCUCUGCCAGGAACAGCCCCCUGAGGGUCUCCCUGGAAAGCUCAGGUGUUGCCUCUUCCAGGAAGCCCCCUCAGCCGUCACAGUCUGGUUGAGCCUUCCAGGCUCUGCCACCUUGAUGAAGGCUCCCCCUGUCCCAGUGCUGAGCAUGUUCCAUCACUGGGGCCUUUUUCACGUCUGCCCUUCCCCCUGCGCCCCCCUCCCUCACCACCAGGUUGAGGUGUUGGUCCCUCAGUGUCCCAGGAGUGAGUCCAGGGCUCAGCACCUACCGGGGACAAGGCUGUGGGGGAUUCCCUCCUUUCCUGGCCUGGCAGGUGGCAGAGACCACUGCAGUUUCCCAAAGUCACUGGGAGGGUCCCUGCCUCUGCUCUGAGAAGCCACCCACAUGCAGCAUACCUUGACCUCGAAGAAGGCUGAGCCAAAGGUGGGCCACUUGAAGAUGAGCUUCAGGAAGGCCAGCUUGGCCUCCUCCUUGGACUUGCCUGCAUGCUUGUUGAAAUAGGCAACGAUGGACUGCAGGGGGAGGGGGGGGUCAGGGGCCUCUCCCUGCCACUCCUGUCCCCCCUUCACGGUCAGCAGCUAUUGCGGGCCCUGAAGGGCCAGGCAUAGGAUGGAGGUCUUGGAGGCCAGGAGGGCUCCCCACUUAUACCAGUUAAUGGACUCUGGACAGCUCUGCCCUCCCCCGAAGCCAGCAGGGCAAACAGUGUCUAGUAAAAUCCAGUCACCAUGGUAACCAGGACCAGGGCAGAUUACAGCCCAGUGGUCAGCUGCAUGCUCUGCCUGGAGCACCUACUAGGGAAGUGACGACGAAAGCAGGUUGAGAGGCGAAGGGGUGUUGGGGGGAACCUUAGGACACACACAGGGACCAAAAGAGAUACCUCCCUGCCCUGCUGACCCAUACCUGCCCCCUUGACCCCGGGGUGCCCAGAGACCCAUGCAGGGAGGCUCUGAGUACGCCUGCUUCUCCCCCAAGCUCACCCGCUUCCAGUCAUCUGGUGAGAUCUGCCGGAUGAGGUCCUGGGGCACAAGCUCCCGAAGCAGCUUGGGGAUACUGGGGAAGUAGGACUUGUCUUCCUCAAACUUGACCCUGUAGAUGAGCGCCCCCAGCUGCAGCACCUCCUCCCGGGUGCAC
rnacentral:lncRNA from 1 species